rnacentral:rRNA from 1 species
UACGAAGGGGGCAAGCGUUGUUCGGAAUUACUGGGCGUAAAGGGCGCGUAGGCGGCUUACCAAGUCAGGCGUGAAAUUCCCGGGCUCAACCUGGGGGGCUGCGCUUGAUACUGGUGAGCUUGAAUACGGGAGAGGAUAGUGGAAUUCCCAGUGUAGAGGUGAAAUGGGCAGAUAUCGGGGGGAACACCAGUGGCGAAGGCGGCCGACUGGGCCGAUCCUGACGCUGAGACCCGAAAGCUAGGGUAGCGAACCGG